rnacentral:rRNA from 1 species
UAAUACUGGGGGGGCAAGCGUUGUUCGGAUUUACUGGGCGUAAAGGGCUCGUAGGCGGCCACCUAAGUCGGUUGUGAAAUCCCUCGGCUCAACCGAGGAACUGCGAUCGAUACUGGGUGGCUUGAAGCCGGGAGAGGGAUGCGGAAUUCCAGGUGUAGCGGUGAAAUGCGUAGAUAUCUGGAGGAACACCCGUGGCGAAGGCGGCAUCCUGGACCGGUCUUGACGCUGAGGAGCGAAAGCUAGGGUAGCAAACGGGAUUAGAUACCCCGGUAAUCCUAGCCCUAAACGAUGAAUGCUUGGUGUGGCGGGUAUUGAUCCCUGCCGUGCCGGAGCUAACGCGUUAAGCAUUCCGCCUGGGGAGUACGGUCGCAAGGCUG